UAGCUUAGUUGGUAGGGCGUCUGCCUUGUAAGCGCUAGGCCGCGGGUUCGAUUCCCGC
rfam:Asian citrus Psyllid, Diaphorina citri - Florida Strain, whole genome shotgun sequence.